rnacentral:lncRNA from 1 species
UUUGGGGGGUGUCCUUAGCAAUAGGGGGGGUGUAUAUAGAACCACCCGAACUGUGCGCGCUUCGCGGUAGUUUCCUAAAAUGUAUGCGACCCGGUGUUGCAAAUUAUUUACAAUGGUACCCCCUGCCAGGCCUAUCGCGACUCUACCAGGUCUCGCUGGAAGAAUCUCGCGGUAUGAUCAACCCGCGGGUGCAUUUAAUCUCCGGGAAGCCCGUCGGGUCUGUGGAUUUGUCGUGGGAUCUGCCGCGUUUGAUUGGUCGAGAUCUUGCGGUGCACGAUAAAAUAUUGUGAUAGAAAGGGAUAGUCCACGUUUUAGUCCGUUUAAAUUUCAAUUUGUUGGCUUGUUUGUGUAUGGAAAGGAAAAAAAAAACAUAAAUUUUUUUAGUCUUCCAUAGGAUUUGGACCAAAAAAAUAUUUAAUUGAUAUAGGCCAUGCCAAAAUAAAUUUUUUAAUCCACGUAUUCAGCAGCAACUUCAACUCAAUUUCUUCUGAAUUACCCAAAUGGGCGCUGAGUAUCUAGUAGGAGCUUUCAUUGUGAUUGGUUGACUUCUUGAUUAUUUAGGAAGUAAAAAAAAACUCCAUCCUUAAAUAAGCUUCAAAAACAACAAAAUGCCAUUUUGUGAUGUCAUUAUGGUAGAAUUUAUUCGAGUUUGUUCUCCGCUCAUUGUUGGUGCAGUUCAACUCCCUAAUAUGUAUCUAAAAUGUUUGAUGCAUACUCAAUUAAUGGGCACACAUCUACUCAGAUUCAUUUAAGUCUCUUGCAAUAGUCCACUUAACAUUUUUCAUAUGAACCUGGUUCUGCUUAGCC